rnacentral:rRNA from 1 species
UACGAAGGGGGCUAGCGUUGUUCGGAAUCACUGGGCGUAAAGCGCACGUAGGCGGCUUUGUAAGUUAGAGGUGAAAGCCCGGGGCUCAACUCCGGAAUUGCCUUUAAGACUGCAUCGCUAGAAUUGUGGAGAGGUAAGUGGAAUUCCGAGUGUAGAGGUGAAAUUCGUAGAUAUUCGGAAGAACACCAGUGGCGAAGGCGACCUACUGGACACAUAUUGACGCUGAGGUGCGAAAGCGUGGGGAGCAAACAGG